rnacentral:rRNA from 1 species
GACGAACGCUGGCGGCGUGCUUAACACAUGCAAGUCGAACGGAAAGGCCCUGCUUUUGUGGGGUGCUCGAGUGGCGAACGGGUGAGUAACACGUGAGUAACCUGCCCUUGACUUUGGGAUAACUUCAGGAAACUGGGGCUAAUACCGGAUAGGAGCUCCUGCUGCAUGGUGGGGGUUGGAAAGUUUCGGCGGUUGGGGAUGGACUCGCGGCUUACCAGCUUGUUGGUGGGGUAGUGGAUUACCAAGGCUUUGACGGGUAGCCGGCCUGGGAGGCUGACCAGACACAAUGGGACGGAGAUACGGGCCAGACUCCUACGGUAAGCAGCAGUGGGAAAUAAUACACAAUGCGCUGAAGCCUGACGCAGAAACGACGCGCGCGGGAGGACGGCCUGCGGGUUGUAAACAGCUUUCGCCUGUGAAGAAGAGUGAGUGACGGUAAUGGGUAAAGAAGCACAGGCUAACUACGUG